rnacentral:rRNA from 1 species
GGGGAAUUUUUACCGAGGGCAGCAGUGGGGAAUAUUGCACAAUGGGCGAAAGCCUGAUGCAGCGACGCCGCGUGAGGGAUGACGGCCUUCGGGUUGUAAACCUCUUUCAGUAGGGAAGAAAGGAAAGUGACGGUACCUGCAGAAGAAGCGCCGGCUAACUACGUGCCAGCAGCCGCGGUAAUACGUAGGGCGCAAGCGUUAUCCGGAAUUAUUGGGCGUAAAGAGCUAGUAGGCGGUUUGUCGCGUCUGCCGUGAAAGUCCGGGGCUCAACCCCGGAUCUGCGGUGGGUACGGGCGG